AUACGUAGGUGGCGAGCGUUAUUCGGAUUUAUUGGGCGUAAAGGGUUCGUAGGGGGUUUGUUAAGUCUGGUGUGAAAGCCCGCGGCUCAACCGCGGAACUGCAUUGGAUACUGACAGACUAGAGCAUAGGAGAGGAGAGUGGAAUUCCUGGUGUAGCGGUGGAAUGCGUAGAUAUCGGGAGGAACACCAGAGGCGAAGGCGGCUCUCUGGGCUAUUCCUGACGCUGAGGCGCGAAAGCGUGGGGAGCGAACAGGAUUAGAAACCCCAGUAGUCC
rnacentral:rRNA from 1 species